rnacentral:rRNA from 1 species
UAGGGAAUCUUCCACAAUGGACGCAAGUCUGAUGGAGCAACGCCGCGUGAGUGAAGAAGGUUUUCGGAUCGUAAAGCUCUGUUGUUGGUGAAGAAGGAUAGAGGCAGUAACUGGUCUUUAUUUGACGGUAAUCAACCAGAAAGUCACGGCUAACUACGUGCCAGCAGCCGCGGUAAUACGUAGGUGGCAAGCGUUGUCCGGAUUUAUUGGGCGUAAAGCGAGCGCAGGCGGAAUGAUAAGUCUGAUGUGAAAGCCCACGGCUCAACCGUGGAACUGCAUCGGAAACUGUCAUUCUUGAGUGCAGAAGAGGAGAGUGGAAUUCCAUGUGUAGCGGUGGAAUGCGUAGAUAUAUAGAAGAACACCAGUGGCGAAGGCGGCUCUCUGGUCUGCAACUGACGCUGAGGCUCGAAAGCAUGGGUAGCGAACAGG